rnacentral:misc_RNA from 1 species
CGAUGUGAUAAACGUCUACUUCGUGCGAUCGGCGCCUUGCCAAAGGAACGGAAAGGACUCUACCGCAGGGUAACCUGUAGCGCUUCGGCCGUGUGGAGUUUUGGAAGUUCACGAAAGCGAGUCGGUCUGGCUUCUAAUCGCCCUCGGGCAACUUUCUGACAUCUGAGCUCAAAUCAGGUAGGACUACCCGCUGAACUUAA